rnacentral:lncRNA from 1 species
CUGUCUCUCUUGAAUCACAGUAGGAAAACACAAGCGUGAAGCCUCCAUUUGGGAAGCCUGCAGAAGCCCCAAUCCAAUCACAGCACUGCCAGAGGAUCUUAGAAGUUGAAUAUCAAUUUAAUAACACAUCCUGUUUGAGAUUGGGUUCUAACUAUAUUGCCCAAGCUAGAUUCAAACUCUUGGGCUCAAGUGAUCCUCCUGCCUAAGACUCCUUAGUAGCUUGGAACUUCAGAACCAUCUGUCAAUGGCUACUUCAUACUUUAGAUGCUCCAAGAGGAAAAAGUCAUUUCAGAAUUGUAUCCAUAACCCAGUUUCAUUGAAGAUGGAGUCUUCCUUCAGAUUUUCUACAUAGACAAUUAUACCUCUGUGAACAAAGACAGUUUAUUUCUUCCUUCCCACACCCUGCCACACUUCCUCCUGCUCCAGCAAUGUAAAACGUGCCUGCUUCCCCUUCACCUUCCACGUGACUGCAAGUUACCUGAUGCCUCUUUCGCCAGCUUUCUGUACAGCCUGCAGAACCAUGAGGAAUCACACCCCUUUUCUUUACAAAUUACCCAGUCUCAGACAUUUCUUUAUAGCAAUGCAAGAAUGGACUAAUACAGUAUCUGUGUAAAAUGGAGAUGUUUCCUAAGAAAGAAUAAACUCCUUUUGGUAUAAGUUAUGUGACUACAAGCAUACUUGGAUAUCUUAAUAUUUAAUCUGGGCCAGACAUACCUUGAUGUGGCAAGAAAGUAGCUGGAGAACUGUGUUGGUAGUCCUGGGGCUCUUCCUGCUUCUAUUGUUACCCAAACUACUUUUAUUCUUUAAAUUAUUAGUAAAUCUUGAUUUGUAGUAAUAUCUUUUAUUUGUGUGAAUUUGAUUUGUCAUUCUAAUCCUUUAUUGUAUUUCAAGAUUCUGGUAGAAUCAAGAUAUUAGCAGUGGCAAGGUAAAGUAAUAAUUUGUACUAGACUGAAAUAAGAAUGCAUUCUACAAAAUGAAAUUCUAGUAAUUCUUGAUUGCUUUUAGACAAUGUUUAUUUAACAACCAUAGAAAGUUCAGAUAAUAUAUCUUCCAAAAAAAAAGGGUUCACUCUUUAUUUUGUUAGGCAUAAAAGGGUAAGGUACUAAUUGCAUCAAUCCAUGUCAUGGGUACAUUGGUCAAAAAUGAGCUAUUAUAUGCUACUUGGUAGCAUAAGCCAAUUAAUUCUUUUUUUCUGCUGUACCAAAUUUACUGCCAGAUAUUUUCAAUGAAGUUUUUUUGUUGUUAAAUUUA